AAGAAUGCAGAGGACUCUCUAGCCUUCAUGCCAAGAUGCACGGGUACAGUGGCGUCUGGAAGGUUUGUUGAAAAGUGGAGGAAAGUCAUGGAGAAAUAUGAUCGGAAGACAAAAGGGUGCUUUCCCUCAAAGCAGGCGGCGGCGGUAGGGGCUGAGUAGCAAUGGUCAAGAUUAAGGCUCGGGACCUUCGUGGCAAGAAGAAGGAGGAGUUGCUGAAACAGCUGGACGACCUGAAAGUGGAGUUGUCCCAGCUUCGUGUCGCCAAAGUGACAGGCGGUGCAGCGUCCAAACUCUCCAAGAUCCGAGUCGUCCACAAGUCCAUUGCCCGUGUUCUCACUGUAAUUAACCAGACACAGAAAGAAAAACUCAGGAAGUUCUACAAGGGCAAGAAGUACAAGCCCCUGGAUCUGCGGCCUAAGAAAACAUGUGCCAUGCGCUGCCGGCUCAACAAGCACGAAGAGAACCUGAAGAUGAAGCAGCAGCAGCAGAAGGAACGGCUGUACCCACUGCGGAAGUAUGCAGUCAAGGCCUGAGGCCUGAGUCUCUUGGCAUCAAUAAA